GGGUGCGAUCAUAUCAUUGUUAAUGCGCCGUAUCCCAUCAGAACUCCGCAGUUAAGCGGGCUUGGGCUAGAGUAGUACUGGGAUGGUUGACCUCCUGGGAAGUUCUAGUGUUGCACCCU
rnacentral:rRNA from 1 species